CAUUAUAUACUUUUCCCGUCUCAGUUCUGUCUAGACUAAUGUUGUUUAUGUUUUUCACAACACAGUCAUCAUUUAUGUAGGAAAGAGUUAAGAAACCUUUUUCUUGCAGCACAAACAGGACAUCACCAAGUAGAUAUGAUGGUUACAUUACUAAUUUAUGUGUUGCCAAAUCAGCUCGCCGACAAGGAAUCACAAGCAACAUUUGUAUUUUGAAAACUAAUUCUAAUAUUCUUUUUAAGCUCCAGUUUUCAAUCAAACUGAUAGAGUUUUGCAGACAAAGUUAUUCCUUCUAAUUGAGUGGAGGCGUUUAUCGAUGCACAACGUAUGGCUGGACAUGAUGUGAGGCUAUUACGUCAUUGAUGAAAGUGUGCACGUCACCGGCAGAAUACGAAGACAUUUGUGUAGCUAACAUUUCUUAUCACCAAGCCUGCUAUACUACAUAACCAUCUUUGGUGUUGGUUGUUGGAGUUCAGUGUCCAAACUUGCUGGGUUGCAAAGAUGUGGAAAAAGUUGUUGAUUGAGAUGGAUAAACUACUUGAGACCAGAUUUGAAGAGAGGAGCGUUUUCACAACAAGAGGAGAAUCUUAUUAUUAGUCUUCAUGAAAUACUUGGAAAUAGGUGGGCUCAAAUUGCAGCACAUUUACCAGGGAGAACAGAUAAUGAGAUAAAAAACUUUUGGGAUUCAUGUUUGAAGAAGAGGCUAAGGAAGCAAGGGACCGACCCAGCUACACAUAAACCACUCUUCAAUAUUACUGAAUCAGUUCUAAAGAAAGAGAAUGAAAAAUCAUCAAUGUUAAUAUCGACACUGUCUCAACCUCAAAGAACUAUCUUCACAUGAAUAUUAUUCAGAAACACUUCUAAUGAAUGAUCUGAUGAAUUAUCACUAUAAUAUUGGUGGUUUAGCUUUUACAGAAGCUUCAAGAAUUUUUUUCAUGAAUAAGUCAUUAUUUAAUCCAUUAUGCUACAAUCUAAGUAUGGGCAAUUAUUAUCAGCCAAAACCGGGCAAUUAUUAUCAGCCAAAACCGAAUCUGUUUGCAAGUGAUUAACAAGUUUUUCAUUGCAAUUACAAGGAUUAACAAGUUGGACAAUUUCAGUCUUUUUGUCA